rnacentral:lncRNA from 1 species
UGAGCAACUGCCACUCCCCAAAUUUGAAACAGGAUCUCAACUAGCUGCAGUCUGCACAUUCACCACUAGAUGGUGCACAAUACAACACAGCAGACCUGAGGGUUAGGCUUAUCUGACACUCAGGCUGUGUCUCAUUUCAGAGACCGCAAACAAUCAAACUGAUGAUGAUCAACAUUUGUGAUCCAGAGGGAGUCAAGCUCCGACGAGCACCACGUCUCUGACACCGGCGGUAACCUACACCUGCAGAGACACCAACACCUUAUUAUGGCAUAUGGAUUCAUAUCAUAAACUAAAGCUCAAUGUCAUUCACGGAUAUUUACGGCUGCAUUGACAGAUAUAUCCGCAGCAUAUUCAUUUCUGCCUCCACAAAAGCAGCGAUUUCCAUCACGUACACCAGUUUUUUUUCCUGUGGAAAAGACGUAUUUCUCAUAUAUUCUUUUUUUAAGUCUUUAUACUUAUGACAAUGUGAUGCUGAUGUGCUGAUGUUAAAUCUCGAAGUCUUUAAAAAAAAUUCUCAAUACGGCCCUCAUACUCCUCCAUACAAAACAAUCAUUGGAUGAAUUUUGUGGGAAUGAUCUGUGCUUGUACGUAUCUACUAUUUUGUGUCUGUGCUUAGUGGUGUCGGUCUUGAACGAACGGAUCAAAAGAACUAGUUCUUUUUGGUGAACGAAAUGAACUAGGUCACCCUCCCUAAAUGACCAGGGGCCUCAUUUAUAAAGCUUGCUUACGCAAAAAAACUGGCUAGAAAUUGCGUACGCCACUUCUUACGCAAGAGUUGGGAUUUAUAAAAGAAAAACUAGUGUAGGAAUGUGCGCAACUUUAAGCAAACUCCACACCUUGCUUACGCACUUAUUGGAGACAAUCGGAGCAAGGUGAGAAUAGUCCGGGUGAUGCGUUCAGCACAACGGAUGACUCGAUGCAGCCUUUCUGUCCUGAGAGCUGCAGCUGCCGUACCAGGCAGUGAUGCUCGCAGAAAGCACAGACCCCACUGUGGCGGUGUAGAUAGUUUGCCAAUUUGAAUUUACAAAUGUGCAAAAAAACAAAUUCCAUUUACAUGCAUUUGUUUUAAGAUUAAUAUGACUAAAUCUUUUUGGUUUACGAACUUUCACCACAUAAGCAGCGGUGGAUAACGGAGCGUUUUUUUUUUUUUUUUGAACACAUGCACGAGUGUCAAACUGCUUGUUUUUUCUGAUCCUCACCUGUCGCCGCCACGCUCUGAUGGUGCAAAGCCACUUUUUUCUUUGCCUCCACCUUUAGAUCAGACCACUUCUUCUUGAUUUCGGCACAGUUUUGUUUUCGUCAUCGUCGACGAAAACAAAACUCCACGUGUUUGCGCGCGCGUGCGUGUGUGUCUGUGUGUUGGAGGAGCACAGCAGGCUGAUGAGAGCUGUCAGAGCGGACAGAAGCUGCUCCUAUAUGUUUAGCGUUUAACUGACUGAGUUUUGCAACUCUGGUCGUCAUUUUCGUCUCGUCCCAUCAACGUAAACGCACUUUCGUCUCGUCACAUUUUAGUCAUCUCCGACUUAUGUUUAGCUCGUCAACGUUACGUCUUCGUCGUGGAAGAAAAGGGAAAUAUUUCCGUCAACAAAAACAACCAGUGUUGUUCUCGUUGAUGAAAAUAUUUCCUUUUGACGCUGGUGUUGACGAAAAUAUUUGACGAAAUAUGACGAAAACAACACUGUUUCGGCAACGCUGCGCUCAGUGCCAGCCGCAAUUACCGCCACGGCUACGGCGUUUUUAUUGGUGAUGCCACUCGAAUGGCCGCCGAAUAAGGUCUCCCGUCUCGCCGCCACCUCAUUUACAAGAACCUCCACCUCAAUCUCUGAAAAGAUUCUUUUUCUACGACUUGCUGAUGCCAUGGUUAAGCGUGAAAUGCCGUGGGUCCACCAGGCUUAUUUACAUGCAAAUCACAUUCAUAGGGUAAUUUGCAUGACCAUACAUGGUGAAUUUUGGGUGUGGAGAGGGCGGGGAAGAAUCAAAUCCCUGCUGAGCAACUUUCUGGCUGGUCUGUGAUUUAUAAAGGGAAAGUGCGUGCAGGUGUGCGUAGGCAGGGUUUUAUAAAUCAGAUUUUUUUUUUGCCUACGCACUUUUCAGCUUUUCAACUUACGUACACUUUUAGUAUGGAUCCUACGCCAGGUUUUAUAAAUGAGGCCCCAGUUCAGUCCGUUCAGUUCUUUUGAUUGGCUGAAGAGUCAGUUCACCGUUCCUUAGGGCAGGACUAUCUCCGUGCUUGCCUGUCUUAUCCUAUGGUCGAGCCUCGCUCCGUGUGUGGGUGGGGCUUAGAGAAGCAGCAGCAGCAGUACUACUGAGUGAGCUGACUGAAAGACCGGGAUGACCGAAAAGAACGAAUUGAACGAAAGACCGAGUUGAACGAAAGACCCGGACCGAUGAACGAGUUGACUGAAAGACCGAGUUGAACGAAAGACCCGGACAGAUGAACGAGUUGACUGAAAGACCGAGUUGAACGAAAGACCCGGACAGAUGAACGAGUUGACUGAAAGACCCGGAACGAUGACCGACUCGGUCUCUGUCUUUUCAGUCAGCUUGGUCUGACCGAGAGAUUGACCGACUCUCAGACUGACUGAGUACCCCCCCCCCCCCCGGCUGAUGCUGCAGCAGCCUGUGAACUCCUCAAUGGUGAAG